GGUAGCAUGGCCGAGCGGUCUAAGGCGCUGGUUUAAGGCACCAGUCAUUCGAUGGCGUGGGUUCGAAUCCCACUGCUGCCA
rfam:Ciona savignyi cont_31032, whole genome shotgun sequence.